rnacentral:ncRNA from 1 species
GAAAGUUGGGGGCUCAAAGAUGAUCAGAUACCGUCCUUGUCUCAACCAUAAAUGAUGCUGACCAGGGAUUGACAAAUGUUGCUUUUAGGACUCUGCCAGCACCUUAAGAGAAAUCAAAGUCUUUGGGU